rnacentral:lncRNA from 1 species
AACCAAAAAUUUAAUGAAGUACGUGGACAGAACUUAAACGUAACCCCCUUUAGCGAGAUUGAUUAUAAAAGUAAGUAAAGUGAGCAUAGGAAAUGGAUAUAACAGAGAAAUAAAUGAAACACAACAGCCGAAGCCAAAACCCAAAAGGGUUUACCAUUUAUUAAGUGAAAGCAACUCGUUUAACGAAGUUAACUGCUUACCUACUUCUCAUUAAUUUUAAGCUAAUCUAUACAUUCACUCCUUCUAAACCUUAGACUGUAACUGAAUUAUUGACGCCUCUUACUCGCUUUUAUCCUUUUAUAACCACACCAAUUCUGCCGUGACUCUCUCUCUCUCUCUUUCUAGAGAUAACUUUAAUUUUGCUUUUGCUUUGACUUCACUAGUCUUCUUCCUACUUUUCAAUCCCACACUCAAACCUCUCGAACUUUAAUUUUCAUCACUAGACCCCCCAAUCUUGCACAAUCCAUCACCAA